UAGAUCAGUUACGACGUCACGCCCACGUCCUGUGAAAAACCGCGUGUAUCGUAGUGCUUAUAAUUGUGUGACUAUUAGUGAAAUUUAUCUGAAACAGGUGUAAAUAAAUCCAAAGAUACUAAACCAGUGAAAAUAAUGAAGUAGUGUAGUGAUGAGUGCAUAAGGAUGGAGACGACAGCUUUGCCCCUGGAGGGGGAUGAUGAGGGAAGGCCCCAACAGGCUUCUUCCACAGGAAGUGGAGCAUCGUCAGGUGCUGGAUAUUAUGGACAUAAGAAUGGUGAAUGGCGUGGAGAACGAAGAAUGUUGGAUAUAACGAGGGACAAACCAGUUAAAGUCUGCGUUCGAGUGGUUGUACCUGUCAGGGAUCAUCCAAAGUUUAACUUCGUGGGAAAGUUGCUCGGUCCAAAAGGCAACUCUCUUAAACGUUUACAAGAAGACACGAUGUGCAAAAUGGCUGUACUGGGACGAGGAUCCAUGAAAGAUAGACAGAAGGAAGAAGAGCUGCGAAUGUCAGGAGAUCCCAAAUUCUCGCAUCUAUCAGAGGAGUUGCAUGUGGAGAUCAAUGCAUUCGCGACACCAGCAGAAGCCCACGCUCGUAUUGCGUACGCACUCGCUGAACUAAGAAGAUUUUUAGUACCGGAUUACAACGACGAUAUAAGACAGGAACAAAUGCUAGAAAUGCAAAUAUUGUCAUCACAGAAUGAACAGCGUAGACUGACGCCGCCCGAAUCUUCUAGAAGCAAUAGCGAAGAGACACUACCUAUACGAGAUACAGUAAAACAACGGUUACCACCAGUUGCACCAGUAACGCAGCCAGCGUUGGCUAGUGCCCCGAUUUUGCCUGUCAGCCACGCCCCCAGCGCACGCGAUUUUUCACCGCCAGCUCCCACACCUGCACCUGAACAUUUGCCUCACCACCAGAUGACAAGUCCAGCAAGUCAUGGCUUGUUGGUUGGAGGUGGUAUUUUGCAACAACCGCAAGCACACCAUUUAAUCACACAAAACUCUAUACUUGGUGCAGGAGACAUCCUGGGCCUAAGCAGCCCCGUUUUGGGUGGGGUGCUGCACACCCACCCCGCACUGCGAGGUGUCAAGCCAACAGCAGUGCACGCGCUGGCGACGCAAGGUCGGUGUUGGUUCGGGUGGAGCGAGCACCCGCAAACGGCCGCUGCUGGGAGGCGCGCGGAACACCAUCUCGCCGACUAAGCGAGCUGUCAUGUCGUUAUUGGCGCGCGCUAGGGCUGCCACGCACAAACACGAACACCCAGCUCUACUACCUCUGAUACGAGAAGAUUUCAUGACUGGAGUUGGAGUGAACAUCAACCUAGCGUAAUAUCUAGCCAGUUUUAUCACUAUUGUAAUAGUAUGCGCUAUGAAAUUCUUUCGUGAUGAACUCCCGCAACGGCUGUAUAAUUUAUGCAUACAUAAUACCAGCCAAUAAAAAUUUCAGCCCAGCGUGCUCCACUCUGAAGUGCACAAAUAUUUUUUUAUAUACGCCAAUUAUAUAUGAAGGAAGCCAUAAUAUCAAAAAAAAAUUGUCAUUUUUGUCAAGCACAGAUGGCUGACUGGUCGGUGAUCAGUUCUUAUUUAUGGUUAACGAGACUACAUACAACCUUUUACAGCAAAAACUUUAAUUUAUUAAAAUCUCCAAGCUCACCCAUGUUUUAAUAAGCAUUAAAAUACCUAAAAGUAAUCAUUGCUGUAUAGAUGUAUCUUUCAUAUUUUAACGUAAUAUUCUGAAAGAUUGUCAAAAGCUACUUUUUUAGUUAACAGACCUCUGUGUUUAAGCUGCUGUUUGUAGUUACUUUACAAACUUAAUAAUAUAGUAGUACAUAUUUAUUGUCGUACUCAGACUCGUCCAUUAACUUUCUAAUAGUAGAUUAAUUAUAUAAACAGUACAUAAAGUACGAAUUUAAUCUUAACUCAAUGUUUCAAGUGACGAUUAACUCUUAAUAGAGGACUCUGAGUACGGAUGUUAGUCUGUAAGUGGCUUUUACCCAUUUUAAGGCCUAAUUAGUGAAAAAGGACCACGUGUAUAUAAAACCCCUCGCCUUCUAGUCUGUACAUAUUUAGAAAUGUUUUAUCGUGUACAAUCAAUGUAAGUGUCAAAAAUAAAUUUAUGCGUAGUAAAAUAUCUUACAUUGAAGUACUAACUUAAUUAUUAGAAGCCGAAGUUGGAGUCUUUGAUUCUUCUACUGAAGUCGCCCUCGCAAACUUUUCAUAAUCUGUUCAAGUUGCGUGCCGAGACUAUAAAAUACUACUUUAAACUAUUGAUUACGUUUAUAAGUAGAAAUCCUGUAACGAUGCAAUGGUCAUAUUCAUAUCGGGACCCAUGUCCCGGUGGAUACAAAUUAUUUAUGGAUUUUGUAUGUCACUCACAAUUAAAAUGACGCUGGCAAGAAAUAAUGAAAACUCCCUUGAAACAAACUUCGUGGAAGACACUUUUGAUCUGUAUCGUUAAAAAAUAUUAACCAAUAAUAUUAAGAUUUUAUUAAUUUUAAUAUUUCGGGUUUUACGUAUUUAUAUAAUCUAAUCGAAAAUUUCAUCAGAGACAAAAUAUUCUUUAAGUACUUCAAUGUAAGUAUAAAA